GUCAUGUGAUGAUAAGAAGCUUCCUGAAACACUGUUUCUAAAUUCUAACCAGAGUUCAUUGUUUUGAAUCUUGGAUGCUGCACUGAGCGCGUGCAGUGUUUGUAAGGCGAAACAUAGAUUGAAUAGCCAACUGCAGGUAAACCUGUCCUAGAGUUCAGGGAACAGAGGUUGUAUGUUGGCUUACAGGGUUAAGUUUCUUGUUCAUUUUUUUUUUUUUUUUUUGAAUAUGAAACAGUGUAUGAAGAUUCUUUAGUAAUCUGAUGACA